CAGUCGCCGCGGGAAUACAGAGGGUGCAAGCGUUAAUCGGAAUUACUGGGCGUAAAGCGCGCGUAGGUGGUUUGUUAAGUUGGAUGUGAAAGCCCCGGGCUCAACCUGGGAACUGCAUCCAAAACUGGCAAGCUAGAGUACGGUAGAAGGUGGUGGAAUUUCCUGUGUAGCGGUGAAAUGCGUAGAUAUAGGAAGGAACACCAGUGGCGAAGGCGACCACCUGGACUGAUACUGACACUGAGGUGCGAAAGCGUGGGGAGCAAACAGGAUUAGAUACCCCUGUAGUCCCUGUAUCUUAUAC
rnacentral:rRNA from 1 species